GUGAAAAGACAAGAAGUUGAGCUACAAAUGCUUAAAAAGGCUGUGCUAGAGAAAGAAAAAGAAUUGGAACUUUCUGCAAAGCUGCAGAAACUUGAAGAGGAGAAACUGGAAGUUAUAGAGAAAAAUUUGGAGAAGAGGACAAUGGAAUGGUUGUUAGCACAGGAAGAAUUGAAAAAAAUGAGAAAGGAGGCAUCUAAGAAAGCAGUAGAGAUGAAUAAAACUGUGAAUGACUUCAACCGAGUGAAGAAGCUUCUUGCCGAUGUAAAGACUGAGUUGGUUUCCUCACAAAAGUCUCUUGUGUCCUCCAAAAAGAAAAUAGAAGAACAAGAAGAUAUUCUUGAGAGGC
rnacentral:misc_RNA from 1 species